rnacentral:rRNA from 1 species
ACAGCAGCAGCCGCGGUAAUACGUAGGUGGCAAGCGUUGUCCGGAAUUAUUUGGCGUAAAGGGCUCGCAGGCGGUUUCUUAAGUCUGAUGUGAAAGCCCCCGGCUCAACCGGGGAGGGUCAUUGGAAACUGGGAAACUUGAGUGCAGAAGAGGAGAGUGGAAUUCCACGUGUAGCGGUGAAAUGCGUAGAGAUGUGGAGGGACACCAGUGGCGAAGGCGACUCUCUGGUCCGUAACUGACGCUGAGGAGCGAAAGCGUGGGGAGCGAACAGGAUUAGAUACCCCCGUAGUCCCUGUCUCUUAUAC